rnacentral:rRNA from 1 species
AACGAACGCUGGCGGCAUGCCUAACACAUGCAAGUCGAACGAGAUCUUCGGAUCUAGUGGCGCACGGGUGCGUAACGCGUGGGAAUCUGCCCUUUGGUUCGGAAUAACAGUUGGAAACGACUGCUAAUACCGGAUGAUGACGAAAGUCCAAAGAUUUAUCGCCAGAGGAUGAGCCCGCGUAGGAUUAGCUAGUUGGUGUGGUAAAGGCGCACCAAGGCGACGAUCCUUAGCUGGUCUGAGAGGAUGAUCAGCCACACUGGGACUGAGACACGGCCCAGACUCCUACGGGAGGCAGCAGUGGGAAAUAUUGGACAAUGGGCGAAAGCCUGAUCCAGCAAUGCCGCGUGAGUGAUGAAGGCCUUAGGGUUGUAAAGCUCUUUUACCCGGGAUGAUAAUGACAGUACCGGGAGAAUAAGCUCCGGCUAACUCCGUGCCAGCAGCCGCGGUAA